GACGAACGCUGGCGGCGUGCUUAACACAUGCAAGUCGAACGGAAAGGCCCUGCUUUUGUGGGGUGCUCGAGUGGCGAACGGGUGAGUAACACGUGAGUAACCUGCCCUUGACUUUGGGAUAACUUCAGGAAACUGGGGCUAAUACCGGAUAGGAGCUCCUGCUGCAUGGUGGGGGGUGGAAAGUUUCGGCGGGUGGGGAUGGACUCGCGGCUUAUCGGCUUGUUGGUGGGGGAGUGGCUUACCAAGGCUUUGACGGGUAGCCGGCCUGGGAGGGUGACCGGCCACAUUGGGACUGAGAGACGGCCCAGACUCCUACGGGAGGCAGCAGUGGGGAAUAUUGCACAAUGGGCGGAAGCCUGAUGCAGCAACGCCGCGUGUGGGAUGACGGCCUUCGGGUUGUAAACCGCUUUCGCCUGUGACGAAGCGUGAGUGACGGUAAUGGGUAAAGAAGCACCGGCUAACUACGUG
rnacentral:rRNA from 1 species